GGCCAGUUAGCUCAGUGAUUUGAGCAUGGUGCUGGCAACAAUGGCCGACACCGAGGUCGCGGGUUUGAUUCCCGCUCGGUCCC
rnacentral:tRNA from 1 species